rnacentral:rRNA from 1 species
AUUGAACGCUGGCGGCAUGCCUUACACAUGCAAGUCGAACGGCAGCACGGGGCAACCUGGUGGCGAGUGGCGAACGGGUGAGUAAUGCAUCGGAACGUACCUUUCAGUGGGGGAUAACGUAGCGAAAGUUACGCUAAUACCGCAUAUUCUGUGAGCAGGAAAGCAGGGGAUCGCAAGACCUUGCGCUGAUUGAGCGGCCGAUGUCAGAUUAGCUAGUUGGUGAGGUAAAGGCUCACCAAGGCGACGAUCUGUAGCGGGUCUGAGAGGAUGAUCCGCCACACUGGAACUGAGACACGGUCCAGACUCCUACGGGAGGCAGCAGUGGGGAAUUUUGGACAAUGGGGGCAACCCUGAUCCAGCCAUGCCGCGUGGGUGAAGAAGGCCUUCGGGUUGUAAAGCUCUUUCGGCCGGGAAAAAAUCGCAUGGGUUAAUACCCUGUGUGGAUGAAGGUACCGGAAUAAGAAGCACCGGCUAACUACGUGCCAGCAGCCGCAGUAA